UACAGAGAUCCCAAGCGUUGUUCGGAAUUACUGGGCGUAAAGCGUGCGUAGGCGGCGGGGUAAGUCGGGUGUGAAAUCUCAGGGCUCAACCCUGAAAUUGCAUUCGAUACUACUCUGCUUGAGCUCUGAAGAGGAGGUUGGAAUUUACGGUGUAGCAGUGAAAUGCGUAGAUAUCGUAAGGAAGGCCGGUGGCGAAAGCGAACCUCUGGGCAGCAGCUGACGCUGUGGCACGAAGGCUAGGGGAGCAAACGGG
rnacentral:rRNA from 1 species